rnacentral:rRNA from 1 species
GCGGCGUGACCUAUACAUGCAAGUCGAACGGGGUAGCAAUACCAAGUGGCGCACGGGUGAGGAAUAUAUGGGUAAUCUGCCCUCGAGUCGGGGAUAACCAGUCGAAAGAUUGGCUAAUACCGGAUAAGACCACAGGAUCUGCGGAUCUAGGGGUUAAAGGUUUUUCGCUUGAGGAUGAGCCCAUAUGGGAUUAGCUAGUUGGUAAGGUAACGGCUUACCAAGGCUACGAUCCCUAACUGGUCUUAGAGGAUGAUCAGUCACACUGGAACUGAGACACGGUCCAGACUCCUACGGGAGGCAGCAGUAGGGAAUAUUGCACAAUGGAGGAAACUCUGAUGCAGCGACGCCGCGUGAGUGAUGAAGGCCUUCGGGUCGUAAAGCUCUGUCGUAUGGGACUAACAAAAUGAAGGUACCAUGCAAGAAAGGAUCGGCUAACUUCGUGCCAGCAGCCGCGGUAAGACGAGGGAUCCUAGCGUUGUUCGGAAUUAUUGGGCGUAAAGCGGGUGUAGGUGGUCUUAUAAGUCAGGUGUGAAAUCCCAGGGCUCAACCCUGGAAGUGCACUUGAUACUGCAAGACUUGAGUGUGGUAGAGGCUAUUAGAAUUCUUGGUGUAGUGGUGAAAUACGUAGAUAUCAAGAGGAAUACCGGAGGCGAAGGCGGAUAGCUGGGCCAACACUGACACUGAGACCCGAAAGCGUGGGGAUCAAACAGGAUUAGAUACCCUGGUAGUCCACGCCGUAAACGAUGGAUACUUGUUGUUAGAGGUAUUGACCCCUUUAGUGACGUAGCUAACGCGUUAAGUAUCCCGCCUGGGGAGUACGGUCGCAAGAUUA